GGAGGCAGCAGUAGGGAAUCUUCCGCAAUGGGCGAAAGCCUGACGGAGCGACGCCGCGUGAGCGAGGAAGGCCUUCGGGUCGUAAAGCUCUGUUGUCAGGGAAGAAGGCGCGCCGUUCGAAGAGGGCGGCGCGGUGACGGUACCUGACGAGGAAGCCCCGGCUAACUACGUGCCAGCAGCCGCGGUAA
rnacentral:rRNA from 1 species